rnacentral:rRNA from 1 species
AAUGUCUGGGAAACUGCCUGAUGGAGGGGGAUAACUACUGGAAACGGUAGCUAAUACCGCAUAAUGUCGCAAGACCAAAGUGGGGGACCUUCGGGCCUCAUGCCAUCAGAUGUGCCCAGAUGGGAUUAGCUAGUAGGUGGGGUAACGGCUCACCUAGGCGACGAUCCCUAGCUGGUCUGAGAGGAUGACCAGCCACACUGGAACUGAGACACGGUCCAGACUCCUACGGGAGGCAGCAGUGGGGAAUAUUGCACAAUGGGCGCAAGCCUGAUGCAGCCAUGCCGCGUGUGUGAAGAAGGCCUUCGGGUUGUAAAGCACUUUCAGCGGGGAGGAAGGCGUUAAGGUUAAUAACCUUGGCGAUUGACGUUACCCGCAGAAGAAGCACCGGCUAACUCCGUGCCAGCAGCCGCGGUAAUACGGAGGGUGCAAGCGUUAAUCGGAAUUACUGGGCGUAAAGCGCACGCAGGCGGUCUGUCAAGUCGGAUGUGAAAUCCCCGGGCUCAACCUGGGAACUGCAUUCGAAACUGGCAGGCUAGAGUCUUGUAGAGGGGGGUAGAAUUCCAGGUGUAGCGGUGAAAUGCGUAGAGAUCUGGAGGAAUACCGGUGGCGAAGGCGGCCCCCUGGACAAAGACUGACGCUCAGGUGCGAAAGCGUGGGGAGCAAACAGGAUUAGAUACCCUGGUAGUCCACGCCGUAAACGAUGUCGAUUUGGAGGUUGUGCCCUUGAGGCGUGGCUUCCGGAGCUAACGCGUUAAAUCGACCGCCUGGGGAGUACGGCCGCAAGGUUAAAACUCAAAUGAAUUGACGGGGGCCCGCACAAGCGGUGGAGCAUGUGGUUUAAUUCGAUGCAACGCGAAGAACCUUACCUGGUCUUGACAUCCACAGAACUUUCCAGAGAUGGAUUGGUGCCUUCGGGAACUGUGAGACAGGUGCUGCAUGGCUGUCGUCAGCUCGUGUUGUGAAAUGUUGGGUUAAGUCCCGCAACGAGCGCAACCCUUAUCCUUUGUUGCCAGCGGUUAGGCCGGGAACUCAAAGGAGACUGCCAGUGAUAAACUGGAGGAAGGUGGGGAUGACGUCAAGUCAUCAUGGCCCUUACGACCAGGGCUACACACGUGCUACAAUGGCAUAUACAAAGAGAAGCGACCUCGCGAGAGCAAGCGGACCUCAUAAAGUAUGUCGUAGUCCGGAUUGGAGUCUGCAACUCGACUCCAUGAAGUCGGAAUCGCUAGUAAUCGUAGAUCAGAAUGCUACGGUGAAUACGUUCCCGGGCCUUGUACACACCGCCCGUCACACCAUGGGAGUGGGUUGCAAAAGAAGUAGGUAGCUUAACCU